UACGUAGGUGGCAAGCGUUGUCCGGAAUUAUUGGGCGUAAAGCGCGCGCAGGCGGUCCUUUAAGUCUGAUGUGAAAGCCCACGGCUCAACCGUGGAGGGUCAUUGGAAACUGGGGGACUUGAGUGCAGGAGAGAAGAGUGGAAUUCCACGUGUAGCGGUGAAAUGCGUAGAGAUGUGGAGGAACACCAGUGGCGAAGGCGACUCACUGGCCCGGUACUGACGCUGAGGUGCGAAAGCGUGGGGAGCAAGCAGG
rnacentral:rRNA from 1 species